rnacentral:tRNA from 1 species
GCCUUCGUGGUGUACUGGUCAGCACGCUCGGCGCAAAUCGAGAGGUCCGUGGUUCGAGUCCCUGCGAGGACA